rnacentral:rRNA from 1 species
UACGGAGGGUGCAAGCGUUAUCCGGAUUUACUGGGUUUAAAGGGUGUGUAGGCGGGUCUUUUAAGUCAGUGGUGAAAUCUCCGAGCUUAACUUGGAAACUGCCAUGAUACUAUUGGUCUUGAAUUUUGUUGAGGUAGGCGGAAUAAGUCAUGUAGCGGUGAAAUGCAUAGAUAUGACUUAGAACACCAAUUGCGAAGGCAGCUUGCUAAACAAAUAUUGACGCUGAGGCACGAAAGCGUGGGGAUCAAACAGG